AUGAAGGGAGCUUGCUCCUGGGAUUCAGCGGCGGACGGUGAGUAAUGCCCUAGGAAUCUGCCUGGGUAGUGGGGGAUAACGUCCGGGAAACGGGCGCUAAUACCGCAUACGUCCUGAGGGAGAAAGUGGGGGAUCUUCGGACCUCACGCUAUCAGAUGAGCCUAGGUCGGAUUAGCUAGUUGGUGGGGUAAAGGCCUACCAAGGCGACGAUCCGUAACUGGUCUGAGAGGAUGAUCAGUCACACUGGAACUGAGACACGGUCCAGACUCCUACGGGAGGCAGCAGUGGGGAAUAUUGGACAAUGGGCGAAAGCCUGAUCCAGCCAUGCCGCGUGUGUGAAGAAGGUCUUCGGAUUGUAAAGCACUUUAAGUUGGGAGAAAGGAACAGUAAGUUAAUACCUUGCUGUUUUGACGUUACCAACAGAAUAAGCACCGGCUAACUUCGUGCCAGCAGCCGCGGUAAUACGAAGGGUGCAAGCGUUAAUCGGAAUUACUGGGCGUAAAGCGCGCGUAGGUGGUUCAGCAAGUUGGAUGUGAAAUCCCCGGGCUCAACCUGGGAACUGCAUCCAAAACUACUGAGCUAGAGUACGGUAGAGGGUGGUGGAAUUUCCUGUGUAGCGGUGAAAUGGGUAGAUAUAGGAAGGAACACCAGUGGCGAAGGCGACCACCUGGACUGAUACUGACACU
rnacentral:rRNA from 1 species